rnacentral:rRNA from 1 species
GGGUGAGUAACACGUGGGUAACCUGCCCUAAAGUCUGGGAUACCACUUGGAAACAGGUGCUAAUACCGGAUAACAACAAUAGCUGCAUGGCUAUUGCUUAAAAGGCGGCGAAAGCUGUCGCUAAAGGAUGGACCCGCGGUGCAUUAGCUAGUUGGUAAGGUAAUGGCUUACCAAGGCGACGAUGCAUAGCCGAGUUGAGAGACUGAUCGGCCACAUUGGGACUGAGACACGGCCCAAACUCCUACGGGAGGCAGCAGUAGGGAAUCUUCCACAAUGGGCGAAAGCCUGAUGGAGCAACGCCGCGUGAGUGAAGAAGGUUUUCGGAUCGUAAAGCUCUGUUGUUGGUGAAGAAGGAUAGAGGUAGUAACUGGCCCCUAUUUGACGAUAAUCAACCAGAAAGUCACGGCUAACUACGUGCCAGCAGCCGCGGUAAUACGUAGGUGGCAAGCGUUGUCCGGAUUUAUUGGGCGUAAAGCGAGCGCAGGCGGAAAGAUAAGUCUGAUGUGAAAGCCCCCGGCUUAACCGAGGAAUUGCAUCGGAAACUGUGUUUCUUGAGUGCAGAAGAGGAGAGUGGAACUCCAUGUGUAGCGGUGGAAUGCGUAGAUAUAUGGAAGAACACCAGUGGCGAAGGCGGCUCUCUGGUCUGUAACUGACGCUGAGGCUCGAAAGCAUGGGUAGCGAACAGGAUUAGAUACCCUGGUAGUCCAUGCCGUAA